UUUCCAAUCACAGAAAGUUGUUUGACAUAAAUUCACAUAAUAGUUUACUAUUAAAUAAGCAAGCAAAUAGCUGUAUAGCUGAGUGCAGUCUUAUAACUAUAACAAAAUAUAACGUGAUACAGUGAAAAUAACUUUCAACAGAUCAAAUUCAAAAUUUAAUUGUACUUAAUACUAUAUAUGUUUUGUUUAAAAAGUUUUUGGAAGCCUCUAAAUUUCACGUGUAUCUAUGAAGUAGAGAAGGCUGUAUCUAAUGGGGUUCCCAUGAGAACUAAAGAUGCUGUGGAUAAAUAACAUGACAUCAGUAAGGCCACAAGUGGGACUGUGGUAUUUACCUUUGUGUUUUACCAGUUUGUAUUCCAUAGUGGGAAGAUUUUCUCUGAUCUGUGCUACUUUUAUAUAUCUGUGAACCAGGCAUUCUUGACAACAACAUGCCCUGCCUCUCUGAUCCUAAUGGUUUUAGACAAUUUAGAGAAAAACCUCAUGUUUCAAAGACAUUAAGUGCCUGACAGCAGUUUCUGGGGAGAUGAUUAAGAUAGGGUCAAAUGGGAAAGAGGUAAUGGUUAUUUAGGUGGCAUGAAGCGAGAGUCAGACAUUGCCUAUUAGUUUUUAAUGUGCCAUGAUACAGAAUGAAUGAAGAAAUGAUGCUGGCCAAUACACUAACACUGAUACGCUAUUAAUGUGUAAUUUAGAAUUGCCGAUUCCUGGAAUUUAAGUGUUUGAAGAUAGGCAUUGGGACUGAACAAUCUAAGUAUCCUGCAAAACGACUGUGCUGUACAUAAUUGGCUGUCCAUAUGUGUCUGUUAAAUGAGCGAAUGAGUGGAAAAUUAUACUUAACGUCCCUUUGCCAUAGAAGCCCUGCCCUGACACAUGGCUUAUAUUUAUUAUUGGACUACUUUAUAUACAUUUAUAUUUUAAUCUAAAGAUUUAUUUUUCUAUUUACAGCCAUCACAUUAGUUGUACCUACAUUUAUAAUUUUAUUGGAUGAAAGAGAAUGCAUGAUAAAGAUGAAAUUGGAAUAAUUUUACUACUCUAAAUUUAGUUCAAAGCCUCCAAAGAUUAAAGUAAUGACAAGGAAAUGGAAACAUUCACUACCCUAAUUUGAUCGGUUCAUAUGGUAUACAUGUAUUGAAAGAUCAUAUUGUGUACCAUAAAUAUAUAAUAAUUACAUUUUAAUCAAAAUUUUUUUUAAAUUUAAGGAGAUGUAAAUGCUAAGUACUCUGAUUCGAUUAUUAAUACUGUACAUGUCUUGAAUUAUCACACUGCACCCCAUUGACAUGUAUAAUUAAAUUAACAUUUUUUAAUUUUAAAAUUCAAUUAGUAGGUUGGGCAUUCUAAACAAAAUCAUACCCAUAAUACAAUUGAUCAUUCGUAAACCACAAUUUAGAAUAAAUUACUUAUUAAAUAACAAUUCAAUAUAUUUAGAAUCCAUGGGGCAUUCUAGAUUUUUAUAUUUUAUAUGCUAGUUGUAUUUAAAAGGCAGUCUAAGUAUAUCAGUUUUGCUAGUGUGUACCCUAUGAGAACAUUUUUACAUAGUGUAUUUGUCCAUUUUUCUGAAAGUAUAAUUUUUAUGUUUUCAAUUUAUUAACACUUGCUGGUGAUAUUAAAAUGAAUAAAAAGUUAAUUACUUAGAAAAUGCUUUCUCUUUUUACUCCUUUCCUAUAACCAAACAUUGUCUCCCACUUCUGUUUGUACAAAAUGUGAAGAUAUUUUCUAUAAAAGAAAGCAGGUGUUUAUAUGAACAUAAUUUUUUUUAAGCACUGCUACAGCUGCUAUGAUAUGAAGUCACUCCUUUAAAAUCCACUGGGCUUUGAAUGAGUAAGGCUGGGACUCUGCAAAUUAAUUUCCUUUGCCUGUUAGGAUCAGCUGAUUUUUGCAAAGAUCCUUCAGGAUCUUCUGUUAGAGGGUAGGAGAGGGAGAUUGAAGGGCCAGUACAAAGAUGAGGACUUGUUAUUUUUGUUUGUUUCCUAUUGACUUUGACUCAAUAGUUCCCUCCUCCGUCUUUGGAGACCACAUCCCCAGGGGCUCCACAGCAUCAGCACCAGAGUGGGUGCCCUCCUCUGAGCUUCCCCAGACAUUUCUUCCAUCCCUAUUGAUAUUUACAUUCUUUUCUUCAGCCUAAGGGAAGGAGAUGAUUUUUAGUUUAUUAUCUCUCUGUUAACUCCAUAUUCUGUUUUUCUUUUUUUAGCCCUCUAACCUGUGUAAUGGGUUCCAUUUCUCAAUAUCUAGUAAGUUUUUCUGUUUUACAAACCAAAGGGCUAUAAUGGAUUUUAAUUGGAUUUUUUCUUAGUAAUGGCAUUUACAUUUUUUCCCUGAGAUAUUUAUGUUUAAUUUAUGACAACUUUGCCUAAUUAGAACUUAACCACUAGAAAUACGUUUUGUUACUAGAAUAUUUCUGGAAUUUUAGUUCUAUACAUGAGAUAUGAAAUUUUAGAUUGCUAUAAUGAUUUUUAUAAUCAGCAGACAUUCUCUUUCCAUAGGCAGGUAGUCAAUUUUCAUGGGGACUUUUUUUCAGGUGCAUGUUAUUUAUGCCGAAAUGAAAUUGACAUGAAAGAAAAUCACCUUUCCAAGUGAUAUUCCUUUCCUAGUCAGCUCUAGAGAACAUCUUAAUUCACUUAUGAGGACCACAAUGACUUCCUGUGUGUCUUUAAAUUUUACUUUAUUCUUUCCAAAUAAAGUACUUUUCAAAAUGAUUGCUCAAUAGAGGCCUACUUCAAAAAGAGCCCCAGAGAUUUUGUCCUGGUCUAUAAGAAGUUUCAAACCAUUGCCUAGGGGAAUCAAAAAUUUAAAUUCUAACUAAUCAGCUGCAGAGCUCAGAAAGUUAAAAAUACAUAACCUCAAUUUUUUCCAGGGAAUGACUUUAAAUCUAAUCCCCUGGUGAUAAGAAUUUUAAUCUAUUUAAAGUCAACCACCAUCAAACUAUCAAACUUUUAUCUUAAGCAAACAGAGGGAUGGCCAGAUGUAGUUGAUAGAAUUGAAUGAUGCUAACUCAGUCAGUGGUCUGUUUAAAUUGUGAUUCCCUGCAAUCUAUGACUAUAUAGGGGUAAAGAUUCAUUUUUAUAGCAUAAUCAGAUGAAAUCAUAGCUUCUUAUGAUUAAACUCAUUUUAUAUAAAAGCAUUCUGGACAUUUCUAAAAUUUGAACUCUUACAAAACACUACAUAAUUCUAUUUUCUUAGCAAACCUCGGAAAAUUACCUAAUUCUGAAGGUAUAAAAAGAAAAACAAUCUUGAUAUCAAAAUGUAGACAACCAGCAAACAACCUUGCACUGAAGUCAUAAAUGUGUAUCUACUAUUGACUGUUCAGUUUCUAUUAAGCACACUUCUAAGCACUUUACAUGUAUUUAUCUAAUUAAGUCUCAGGACAACACCAUAUUUUCCCUGAAAAUAAGACCUAGGUGGAAAAUAAUCAACCUUGAAAACUAGAGAUCAAAAAUGCCAGCCCUAAUCAGCCUGUCCUUACCUUACUUUAGCCUUGCCUUAUCUUCCUUACAAAGUAACCACCAAACAAGAGAAUUGUGAUGGCAGGUAAGAAAAGGACAGGCUAGGUCUUGUUUUCAAGGAAAGAAGUUAUCAUCUAUAUUUUACCAGUGAGAAGGUGAAGUUCCAAGAAUUUUAACCUUCCUUUCCUGAGAUCUCUAACCAGUUAAUUUCUAAAGUGUUAUUCAUUCUUGAAAAUAUGGACACAGGAAAUAUAUUGCUUCUUAUGGGUUGCCCACUCAUCAGUUUAAAUGUGUAGGAAGCUAACUGUAAGCCUCUGAACUGACCCCUAUACUUCCUAUCCAAGCAAGCCCAGAGAAAGAGGAGAAACUAGUAGGAACAAAAGAAAGGCCAUAGUCAUUUCUCUUUGAAUAUGUUCUGAUAAGAAUUUCUAGUAGAAUCUUUCACUUAUAGGAUAAUUUUAGCAUGAUGCUCCUGGUCAUUCUAGAAAACUUAUGGUAAAUACAUUUAUACUUCGUAGAUCUGUGAUUCAAGAACUACUAAAAAGGAAUGUCAGAGUCUGUAUGUGACUGAGUAGAAAUAACAAUAUUUUCUCAUUGAAAUAUCUCCUAUUGUGCAAAUGACACCCUCCCUGAGUCCUUUAGAGAAUUCUUAUGCUAAAUAAAUGUCAGAGUGGCACAGGCAGCAAUAAAAAAACCAGGGGGUAAGGUUUGUAAUGCCAUACUUCCACAUGAUUCACCUACACUUCAUAAUUGCCUGUAUCUCUCAAAUUAUUGAUAAUUUUGCCUUGCAUAAAAUACGUGAUUUUUAUAAGCCUAACAAAUAUCUGAGACCUUUCUUGUUAUAUUAAGGAGUUUUCUGCAGUUAAGCUACUUUGGAAUUCUGAGAAGUUACAUGGAAUUCCAAGAAGUUUUAUGGUUUCUUUUGGUGGCUUUUUUGGAUCUUGUUAAUUUAUCCAACAAACAUCUCACAAAAAGUAGAAACUCAUGCAAUAAACAGUUAUUGCAUUCAUACUAUCUCAAUGGAGCUGAUUUAGUCACAGAAUUAUGCAAUCUAAGAGUUUAAUAAAGAACAAACAACAAAACUAAUAAAAAAUAUGUCAUGUUGUUCUUUGAAAAAAAUUACACAUGUCAUAUUAGAAGGACAGUUGGUAUUGAGGUAUGAGAUUGGAGAGACAAAAACAUCUCUGAUGCUAUGUAAAUAAAGAGCAAAUAAAAGAUAGUAGGAAGCAGGGAGAUGGAUCUUUCUCAAAUAGGAAAGGGAUUAAGAGGUUGAGGGGGAGGGAGGGAAGGGAAAAGGGAAGAAAAAAAGGAAUUAAGAUGUGCUAUGUACACGUACCAACUCUAUAAAAGGAAUACAAACAUUAUGUACUGCAAACAUGCACUAAUAAAAAUAAAUAAAUAAAACACAAAAAAAUUGUAAAAGAUAUUACUGAAGUACAAUAGUGAGACAUGUCAGUAUCUGAGAGAACAGAUUUUCUGGCAAAGGGGGUAUGCUUUACAUGUGUGAGGAGAAAAUAGUCUGAGAGGUAUGGAAUGAUAGAAUCCCUGUGGUAGGAGAAAAAAGAAGAUGUAGAUGGGGAUGAGAUCAAACACAGAUGAUUAGAUAUUGCUUUAAAAAUAGUCUUUCUUCUGACUCCAAUGGGAAGCCAUUGGAAGGCAAGCAGAGUAGUAACAUGAUAUGGCUACACAUUACCUGGCAUUCUCUUCUGCCUUGUUGAGAAUAGUCUACCAAGGAGUAGAGCCCGGUCAAUGGGAAAUAUUAAGAAGCCUAUGAAGAAGCCAAGUGAGCAGUGAUGGGGUGUGGUGUGUCUGUCACUAUGCAACUAAGAAAAUCAAAGUCCCUGUAAACAGUUGCGGCAUUAUUGCCAUGUUCAGGAAUUAUGGAUAUAAAAAAGCUUUGGAAAAACAAAAGGGCCACAGGCAGAGAGGCUUUGCCACAGGUCUCAAUUUCAUGUGCCAAAGGAAUUUUGAUGCUGAAAAAAUUCUCAAACUUCAAGAUUUUCUAGAAAAUUUCACACAACUACUUAAGACUGUGUAAGUAGAGCAGGGGAGGGUGGUUCUGAAGAACAUUCCUACACAGGUGAGAAUGCCAGAAUUCCAAGCUCAUGGGUCCAUGUGUGCUUUGGAAAAUUGUACCCUGUCCAUCUCUUCCACCUAUCACAUCUUGCAUGAUGCUUAUUACCAGCAAAUGCUGCCAUUAAUGUAUACCAUAGGAAUUAUUAUCUGUGUUCCAGCACUGCUUUUAAUGCAAUGUUUUCUUAUAUGUCAUAUAUUGUUUAAUGGCUUGGUAAGGUUGGAAGAUAAAAAUAAUGUUAGAUAAUUUCUCACUAUUAUUCACACUAUAACAGGUAGCAUCUUAUUCUGUCUUCCUGAAGGCAACUAUAAGGUAAUUCAAUUAAUUGAUUAUUAAUUUUUGUGUCUACCUAUCUUAUGAGAUUACCAGCUCCCUGACAGAAAGCAGAAAUCCUUUGUCUUACUGUGUCCUCAGAAAAUAGGACUAUUUUUGGAAUAUAAUGGAUGCACAGUAAACACUUUUUGAUUGAGUGAAAAGCUUUUCCAUAAUAUGAGGAAUCAUGAUGGGCCAAAUCAAAUGCUAAAGUGCUAAGAGAAUCAAGCUAACAAGCAGAAAGGGGUAUAUAAAAAUUAUCUACACUGAAAACAAACACCCACAUUAAAUGAUAAUUAGAAUUUGAAAAAGUAUUGAACAGAGCAAGCAGGAUACAAAAAAUAAAUAAGCAGGAAUUAAAAACAACUGUGUAUAUGGCACAGCCAGGCAUAAAACAGCUGUAAAACAUUUUUAUUAUAUAAUUUAAUUAUUUCUAUUAGUUUUUUUAAUCAAAAGAAUCUUUCAUCUAUUCAUGAUGGACUUCAGGGGAAAAAAGCUUAGAGAUUUAUAUUCUCCUCGAGGUUUACAAGCAUAAUUGAAUCGAUACACUUGUAAUUUUUUCAGAUGCCAUUACAUUUUCUUGAUGCAGUUCUUUGUAAUUGUAAAUUGACAGCUCAAUCUUCUUGUCAGUUUCUGAAAAGACGUAUCUAAGGACUAUUCAAGAAAAUAUUUGGGGAGCUUAAUAAAAAGCAGCAAUGCAAUCAUGACCAAGCCCUUUUAGAACAAGACCUGAAUGCCAUUUCUCUCCUUGGAGCACUCUCAAUAUACCUGACAAUUCCAAGUAGGUUGGAGCUGCUACACAGGCAAACAACACAGGCAUCUGUUAGCAUAGGCUGGCUCUUCAAUAAUAGACCCUUCAGUUUUCUAAGGUCUUAGAGUAGACAUUCAUGGUGAAAAUGACAAUUUAAUGUACAAUAAGAUAACUAUAAAGAAGAGUCUUGGACACAUUAUUUAAUCAUAUUCUUCUGUAGUUCUGAGGGAAGAUGCUACUGCAAUCUUGAUAUUACAGGUAAGGCAACUGAGUUAAAGAAGUCAACUAAUCUCAUUCACAGAGCUGAUAAACUGGAGAUACAGAUUCUAAUCCAGGCUUCCUAAAGAAUUAGCCUACUUCAGUACAAUGUCUCAUGAAAAUCUGCUUUUACAACUUUGGGAGGAGGUAGAAAGUGAGUCAUCAGGUGAUUCAGCUAUUGAUGAUGACUUGGAUCAUGUAAACCAAAGAAGUUGAGACACUGAGAUGGAGCAAGAUAUGACAAAUAGAUAGAGAAAUACAGAAUGAAGACCUCUGAUGCAGAUGAGGAAGAAAGCAGUAAUGUAAAUAAAUAUUUGACAAGUCAAAAUACUACAAAAUGGUUAUACAUACCUGAAUUAUCCAACAUUAGUACUAGGUCAGAAAAUGUUAUUACAUUCUUGCCAGGGGUGAAACCUGUUGAAAUGCCAACAUUGCAAUUCAGUGUUGGAAAUUGUAACAGAAAAUACAUUAAAAGAUAUUUUUAAAUACAAUAAUAAUGAAAUACAAGAAAACAUUCUAUAUGUAUCAAUAGUAAUACUCAAAAAUAUAACUAUCAUAACACCUCACUAUCUGAACUAAAAGCCUUCAUAGCAGGACUUCCUAAUUCGAAUCAUCAGAAUCUAAAGGAUUUAUGGAGAAGUGACAGAUGUGACAUUGUAAUUUUUAGAACAAUUAUGACACUGGAGAUUUGGUUUCCUUCCAAAUUGCCUAGGUUUUGAAGACAAAAAGACCCACCAAGAAAGAAAAAAAAAAUUAACAAUUUGGCAUCUAUUUGCUCAUGUUUUGAAAGCUUUGUUUUAAACUGUCAAGUAAUUUAUACAGCAUCUGAAUACAUGACAACUGACAAACAACUUGCAUCAUUUUGUGGUUGUUGAAGUAUUUGGUGAUAUAUGGCAAAUAAUCCUCCCAAAUAUGGUAGAAAAAUACAUGUCCUUGUAGAAGCAAAGGCAUUUUACACCUUGAAUUUAGACAUUUACCCUGGAGCUCAGCUACCAGGGCUCUAUUUGUGCAGUAAUAAACCAUAUGAUGUUGUGAAUGGACUUGUUACACCUAUUUCAAGAACUGAUCCAACAUUCAACAACUGGUUCACUAAUCACCUACCCAUUGAUGUUACAUUUGCUAAAAGAACACCAGUUGACCAGCAUAGGAACAAAGAAGAGAUUUCUGAAAAAAAUGCUGCAAGUUCACAAUAGAGAAAUGUAUAUUAUAAUGAAUUUCAGAAAAGACAUAACAUUGGGCUCCUAUAUGGUAAAGAAAAACAAAGUAGUAUUGAUGUGGUCAACAUUACACCAUGAUGGUAAGCUUGGUAGUGAAGCUGGACAUGGUGCACACCUGUAAUCCCAAUACUCAAGAGGCUGAGGCAGGAGGAUCCUGUGAGUUCAAGGUCAGCAGUGCUACAUAGUGAGUUCUAGGCUAGCUUGGACAGCACUAUGGUGAAUAAAAACAAAAUAAUAUUGAUACUGGCAAUGUUACACCAUGAUGAUAAGAUUAAUAGCAAAGCUGGUUGUGGAUGCCUGUAAUCCUAGCACUUGGGAGGCUAAAUCAGAAGGAUCCUGUGUGUCCAAGGUCAGCCUAUGCUAUAUAGUGAGUUCAACGCUAGCCUGGAUUAUAUAGUAAGAUCCUGUUUCAAAAAAAACAAACAAAUAACAAGAUUGAUAAUGAAUCCUCAAUACAAAUGAAGCCAUUAAUGUUGACAUUUUACAACAAAAUGAAAGGUGGAUUAGAUGUUGUUGAUGAGUUAUGCAUAUCGUAUCAUAUCAUAUCGUAUCACUGGAACUAUAAUAUCACUGGAAAGGCAAAGCAUUUGCCAAUAGCUGUGUUUUACUCAAUCCUAAACAUGUUAAGCAUAGUUUCAUAGUUUACAAAGAAAAUAGGCACAAAAUAUCAUGGAAAAUUUUCUUAGAGGAUUGGGACUCGACUUGAUAAAUGGUCAGUUACAAUAAAGAAAGAACAGUAUAUAUCUGCCAAAGAGCUCCCCAACAGAAUUCUGGAGCAAACGGGUGGACAGACAGGAUAAACACCACAAGAAUCUCCAAAAAAAGCAAGAAGAUAAGCAAGAUGUCAAGUAUGUCAUGCCAAAAAAAAAAAAGGAAAACAACACACGAGCUAUAAGUGUAAGCAAUACUUGGGUAUGGAGCAUGCUGUUUUCACGUGUGGAGACUGCUUUAGGUGCUCAGUGAAAUCACAAAUAUCAGAUUGAGCUCCGGCUGUCGGUGACCAUUAAAUAAAGUUGAACAAUCUCUCUGUUGUAGAUGUUACCUAGUUUAUGUCCUUGAUUAAUUUAUGUACCACACUGCUUGGAUUUUAUCACCGAGUAGAAUUACUACUAAUAUACACACAAAUAGAUUAUUUGGCUUGUAAUAAUCUGAUAAAAGUAGUUACAUAUCAUGCUACUAGUCUGUGACUAAAAUAGUUCAUCACCUACUGGGUGGGUAUCUUUCCCAAAGAAUUAAAAGAAUCAUACCACAGCGAUAUAUGUGCACCUAUGUUUAUAGCGGCACAAUUUGUAAUAGCUAAGUAUUGGAAACAGCUCAAUUGCCCAUCAACUGGAGACUGGAUAAAGAAAAUGUGGUUUUUUUUAAUAAAAUGAAUUACUACUCAGCCAUAAAGAUCGAGAAACUAGAGUCAUUUAUAGCUAAAUGGAUGGAUAUUGAUGCCAUUCUCUUAAGUGAAAUAAAUAGGACACACAUGUGUAAAUACUGAAUAGUUUCUCUAGUGUGAGAAACUGAGUGUAAAUAAGGAUGAAAAUGACUAAAACAAAUAAUUGAUAAUUUGAAAUAGGAAAAGGUCCAAAGGUGGAGGGGUGGCGAGAGGGGAAGGGGAAAGGGAAGAAAGGAGAGGAAAAAUUAUGAGAAAGAAAAAAAAAUGGAAACAAAGUCUAUGUAAAUAGGGAAGGGUGGUGGGGGUGAAGGGCACAUAAGUAAUGGGGAAAAAAAUAAGAACUAAGAUACAUCAUGUUCAGGUACAAGCACCCAAUGGUAAAUGUAAAUGUGUUGUAUACCUAAAAUGUACCAAUUAAUAUAUAAAUUAAAAAAAUAGUUCAUAAUUUUUUAUUAGAUGUAAUACAUAUUUGUAAAUUUAAAAUAAAAUUUAUUGAACAUAACAUUUUAAUAGUAGGAUGAAAAAUUGCUAGGUCUAUAAUACGGUAAAUGUUUAGUGAACGUUUCCUGCACAGUGUCAAGUGAGGAACAUAACUGGGUCCAAUUGUUACAAGGUUCGGGGGUGCUGGAGUCUCCUUCUGAAGGUUGUUUGCCUGAGCAAAGAAUUGGUCAAGACAAGUGCAAAUGUCCCAAGAUUUUACAUUUAUUAAGAUAAGAAAAGAAAAGAUAAAAGAAAAGAAAAGAAACAUGCUCUGUAGAGUCACUUUGGUUAAAAAAAGAGUUGCACCCUGGAAAGAAGAAGGUGGGCCACUGAAAGAGCUAACAAUGGCCCCAGCUGGACGGUGGGUGUCUUUUUUAUCUUUCACUUCUCGGGCUGAUGUCAGGUCUAGGCCAUACUAUCAAAAGCCUGUUUGAGUUCUCACAAGAAGAACUGAAGAUAGCUCUCUCUGAUUGGUUCUGUGCAGAGCGUUUGGAACUCUUUUGUGAAGAAAGUUUAAUGGGUCAUGCCCACUUCCCUAGCCAGUUUGCUGUACCCUAAUCUUCUGCCUCACAAUUGUCAAUGAAGAACUCACAGUAAUAACAAAGGCACUCACUUUUUGUCUCUCUAACUAGAAAUCUUAAGUCUGAUGAACUGCACAAAUAUUCAAGAAGAAUCCACCUGAAAGUGUUUGUCCUCACAUAUGUUUACCAUGAUAACACUAAGUUUUAAUGCAUAAAUCUCGAGAGUAAAAUAAGUGCUUCUGAAAAAAAUGUUAAUUCUUUUUUUAGGAGACUUCAAUCUUAAUUUGGUUGCUUAAUUUUAUGGAUUCUAAAAUGUCCACUUUUCUUGAUUAUUGUUAUUGGUUACCUUUCAUUUUGGUUAAAACAUUUAUCUGUUCUUUGGCCACCUCUGAGUCAUCUGAGUCAUUCAGAUUAACAGUACUGGCUUGCUUGGUAUGAUAUAUAUUCAGUUUCCUCUGACAUUAAACAUAAGACAUAUAAACAUCUCAACUAUAAAAGUGAAGUUCAAAUUAAAAUUGAAGUGAAACGUACUGUGGCUAUUGGGUAUAUUUAAAUAUAAGACAGUGAGUCAUAGGAUUAUUCCACAAAGAAUAGUAGUUUAUUAUCGGUUCAUGAGUUAAAAAGAAUAGAUAACCACCUGAUUUAAGAAAAAGAGUUGGAAAUGUUGUUCCCAUGUAAAGUUAGAAGUAUGGAUAGACUGAUGAACACAAUAAUUUGGGUAUUACAAUAUUAGGAUAAUAGGGGACAUAUACUCUAUCUACCAGCCCAAGAAAGUGGUAAGAACUAUCAGGGAGAGAAAAUUCUAAGCCUCAGGCUUAUAAACAGUUAUGUGAUUGAAAUUUAUGGCUAUAUAGUACAAUGUGAAAUCCCAAGAUUAUUAAUAGAAAAAAUCUGUUUCAAAUUAGUGAAACCAACUGUCUACAUGAAAGAAGCAAACUCAGUGCUUCUCAGAGGGACAUUUUCAUAAGGAAAAUUUAUAGUUUAUAUUCAGAUAGCCUUGCUAAAUUGCUAAACUACUCCUCCUUGGCUUGAAAUUUCAAUCCUCCUUCCUCAGCCUCCAAGGAUUAGAGGCCAAUGCCACCAUGCCCUGCCCAAGGUAUCAGAUUUUUAGGCAGGCAGGGCUCAUGUGACUGACUUUAGUUAUUCAGUUCAUUCUUCCCACUCACCGGACAAACUCAUAAAAUGUGGUCAAGAACUCAAGCAAACAAAGACAAUUUGUAAAUUAUUUAGGAAGAAGAUGACAAUGGUGAUAUUCCAAAGGGUAAGAGGUUGUCUCCCAGCAGCCAGUCAUGAACUGGUUUUCUCUCUUGAAUGUGCAGGGUUUGACUGACACAAGUUGCUGAGUCAAUCCUUCACUGUGUUCAUGAAUAAAUCUGAAAAACCAUUAUGGGAAAAGAAACAAGUGAACAAAAUAAUUGAUGCCUCAAAACACAGUGGUAUGAACAUGACAUACAAUUUUUGAGGGAGAUUAGAAUUAGGUGUUUGAUAGUAAAACACUGUUACUCAGUAUUUCAUACUGAUAUUUCUUUGUAUGACUGAAGGAAAUAAAAUUCAAAACACAUGAAAACAAAACAAAAGCUUAUACAGGGUUACACUGAUUACUGAAAGGGCAUGGUCUUUCUACAAGGUGGUAUCUGGUCCAUUUCAGGUCCAGUUUGAUUCUUUAACUGCAACUAUUCCCACCCCAUAUGUGUCAGAGACUCCUGCAGUAAGUUUCUAGUCCCCACCUGCCCAAUGCAUGAUACUAAGUUGAAGAAAACUUAAGACAGAGUUAAAAACAAAGUGUGAACUGGGACAGCCAUUGCUCCUUUGGCAAAGGGCACUGGUCCAUUUCUUCCACUGAAUUUUAUUAUUCAUCAGUCAGGGUAAAGGGGCAUGUAUAGAUGUGCAGUACGUGAAAUUACUAUGGAAACUAAUGUAGGCAAGGCUUUAAAGAGAAGUCAAAGCAUUUUCAAAUUAAAAGCAAG
rnacentral:lncRNA from 1 species